GCUUACGGCCAUACCACCCUGAGAACGCCCGAUCUCGUCUGAUCUCGGAAACUAAGUAGGGUCGGGCCUGGUUAGUACUUGGAUGGGAGACCGCCUGGGAAUACCAGGUGUUGUAAGCU
rnacentral:rRNA from 1 species